rnacentral:rRNA from 1 species
GGAUUAGUGGCGAACGGGUGAGUAACACGUGAGCAACCUGCCCCUGACUCUGGGAUAAGCGCUGGAAACGGCGUCUAAUACUGGAUAUGUCCUGCCACCGCAUGGUGUGUGGGUGGAAAGAUUUUUCGGUUGGGGAUGGGCUCGCGGCCUAUCAGCUUGUUGGUGAGGUAAUGGCUCACCAAGGCGUCGACGGGUAGCCGGCCUGAGAGGGUGACCGGCCACACUGGGACUGAGACACGGCCCAGACUCCUACGGGAGGCAGCAGUGGGGAAUAUUGCACAAUGGGCGCAAGCCUGAUGCAGCAACGCCGCGUGAGGGAUGACGGCCUUCGGGUUGUAAACCUCUUUUAUCAGGGAAGAAGC